rnacentral:tRNA from 1 species
GGGCCUGUAGCUCAGUUGGUUAGAGCAGAGCGCUCAUAACGCUUUUGUCGUAGGUUCGAGUCCUACCGGGCCUACCA